GUAGGCAGUGGCAAAAGUUGGCAUAGUCAAUGAAGCAGAAGUAGAUGUUUUUCUGGAACUCCCUAUCUUUCUCCAUGAUCCAGCAUAUGUUGGCAAUUUGACCUCUAGUUCCUUUACCUCUUCGAAACCCUGUUUGUACUUCUGGUAAAUCUUGGUCCUCAUACUGCUGAAGCCUGACUUUUAGGAUGCUGAACAUAAUUUUGCUAGCAUGUGAAAUGAGU